CCUACGGGAGGCUGCAGUGGGGAAUAUUGCACAAUGGGCGCAAGCCUGAUGCAGCCAUGCCGCGUGUGUGAAGAAGGCCUUCGGGUUGUAAAGCACUUUCAGCGGGGAGGAAGGCGGUGAGGUUAAUAACCUUAUCGAUUGACGUUACCCGCAGAAGAAGCACCGGCUAACUCCGUGCCAGCAGCCGCGGUAAUACGGAGGGUGCAAGCGUUAAUCGGAAUUACUGGGCGUAAAGCGCACGCAGGCGGUCUGUCAAGUCGGAUGUGAAAUCCCCGGGCUCAACCUGGGAACUGCAUUCGAAACUGGCAGGCUAGAGUCUUGUAGAAGGGGGUAGAAUUCCAGGUGUAGCGGUGAAAUGCGUAGAGAUCUGGAGGAAUACCGGUGGCGAAGGCGGCCCCCUGGACAAAGACUGACGCUCAGGUGCGAAAGCGUGGGGAGCAAACAGGAUUAGAUACCCUAGUAGUC
rnacentral:rRNA from 1 species